ensembl:lncRNA
UUCAGUCUCCACCCAUCCACCCCAGUUGGCCGGCAGCUCGCAUACAGCAAUCUCAGCGCUGGCAGCACUGCUGCAGCACACCGCCAGCUCUGAGGUGUCGAAACGAAAGGAGAGGUAGGUGGUGAGGUGUGGGCUUCCAGUUGUGGAAACCAAAGGUAGGAGUGCUUCUUCCCUUCUUUUCUAAUAAGAUUCUUCCCCAAAGCGGGACGAGCCCAUUUUCAUCUCACUGCCAGUGUUACCAGAGCCAGAUGUUUUGUUUUGCCUUCUUUUCCACCCCCAGGAUGGACAAGGAUGAGGGUGGUUUUUCAGGGGAAGAGGUGGGGGCUGUGAGUGCUAGGGCUGCCACUGCCCAGGUGCAACCAGUAAGGAUAGGCAGCACUCAUCCCAGCUUCUCCACAUCUCCUG